AUUGCCCCAGUAACGGCGAGUGAAGCGGCAAGAGCUCAAAUUUGAAAGCUGGCUCCUUCGGGGUCCGCAUUGUAAUUUGCAGAGGAUGCUUCGGGAGCGGUCCCCAUCUAAGUGCCCUGGAACGGGACGUCAUAGAGGGUGAGAAUCCCGUAUGGGAUGGGGUGUCCGCGCCCGUGUGAAGCUCCUUCGACGAGUCGAGUUGUUUGGGAAUGCAGCUCUAAAUGGGUGGUAAAUUUCAUCUAAAGCUAAAUAUUGGCCGGAGACCGAUAGCGCACAAGUAGAGUGAUCGAAAGAUGAAAAGCACUUUGAAAAGAGAGUUAAAAAGCACGUGAAAUUGUUGAAAGGGAAGCGCUUGCGAUCAGACUCGCUCGCGGGGUUCAGCCGGCAUUCGUGCCGGUGUACUUCCCCGCGAGCGGGCCAGCGUCGGUUUGGGCGGUCGGUCAAAGGCCCUCGGAAGGUAACGCCCCCAGGGGCGUCUUAUAGCCGAGGGUGCAAUGCGACCUGCCUAGACCGAGGAACGCGCUUCGGCUCGGACGCUGGCAUAAUGGUCGUAAGCGACCCGUCUUGAAACACGGACCAAGGAGUCUAACAUCUACGCGAGUGUUCGGGUGUCAAACCCGUGCGCGAAGUGAAAGCGAACGGAGGUGGGAACCCUUACGGGUGCACCAUCGACCGAUCCUGAAGUCUUCGGAUGGAUUUGAGUAAGAGCGUAGCUGUUGGGACCCGAAAGAUGGUGAACUAUGCCUGAAUAGGGCGAAGCCAGAGGAAACUCUGGUGGAGGCUCGUAGCGGUUCUGACGUGCAAAUCGAUCGUCGAAUUUGGGUAUAGGGCGAAAGACUAAU
rnacentral:rRNA from 1 species